AUUCAGUCUUCCUCCCAGGUUCAAUUUAAACUCGUCACUCAACUCUCCUAGAAACUCACCUCCAGCCUAGAAAAAUUUCCCUAUUCUAUGGCAUCAACCUGCUGGGACAUCUUGAUGACUCUUCUGUAUUUCCAUUGGAAUGAACUCCCACCUAUGGCGCCACCAACCCAAACCUCAAUUACACCUUCUUGAAAAACGUCAAGACGAACUCAACAUUCAUUCCCUUCUUGCUUCCCUUCUUGAAAGCAUAAUUCCACUUAUCUCCUCUGCUUUCAUGAAAAAUGAAGCCUGGACUCGUCUUCAUAGUAUUUUUGCCGAACGAUCUCCAUCCCAUACAUUACAUCUUAAAGAAAUCGUAGUACCUUUACUACUCGCUAACCACUAGGUGACUGCUCGGGUGGUCGUGCUAUUGCUUGCUGAAUACGAGGCACCGCUCGAGCGGUGGUGUUAUCAGAGUGAAAUCUAUUCGUGAUUUUGGCAUUUUUUUACACUCCUAUUCUACCUCAG
rnacentral:lncRNA from 1 species